GUAGCUGCGCUGUGCGCUGCGCAGUUCAUGAGUUCACAUCAAAAUGGCGCUCGCUCACUCGCUGUGCGUAGAACGUAGUACUUGUGUAAACGUGUAAAUAAAUUGGAGAUAGCAUACAAGAAAACAGAAAGGGUUCGCGGUUCAACUUUUUUCUAACGGUUUCCUCGGCGUCCUUUACAAAGUCCAGUUGAUAUCGUGUCCUGUCCACGUCCAGGGUGGAUCAGACCUGAUCUACAAAAUCUUGGAGCAGCCGCUUUCGUCGUAUGCCAUUAAAAAAAUUAAAACAUGCCCGUUAUUAAAAUUUGGUCAGUAGACCAAACAAUCAAGAAAGCUGUUCCAAUAAUGGACCCAACUUUAAAAAAUAUCAUUGAAAAAGGUGAGUAAAUCUAAAUU